rnacentral:rRNA from 1 species
UACGAAGGGGGCUAGCGUUGCUCGGAAUCACUGGGCGUAAAGCGCACGUAGGCGGCGAUUUAAGUCAGAGGUGAAAGCCCGGGGCUCAACCCCGGAACUGCAGUCGAUACUGCUGUGGCUAGAGUCCGGUAGAGGAGAGUGGAAUUCCCGGUGUAGCGGUGGAAUGCGCAGAUAUCGGGAGGAACACCAGUAGCGAAGGCGGCUCUCUGGGCCGGUACUGACGCUGAGGAGCGAAAGCGUGGGGAGCAAA